AUUGAACGCUGGCGGCAUGCUUUACACAUGCAAGUCGAACGGUAACAGGGUGCUUGCACCGCUGACGAGUGGCGAACGGGUGAGUAAUACAUCGGAAUGUACCCAGUAAUGGGGGAUAACGCUUCGAAAGGAGUGCUAAUACCGCAUACGCCCUGAGGGGGAAAGUGGGGGACCGCAAGGCCUCACGUUAUUGGAUCAGCCGAUGGCUGAUUAGCUAGUUGGUGAGGUAAAGGCUCACCAAGGCGACGAUCAGUAGCGGGUCUUAGAGGACGAUCCGCCACACUGGAACUGAGACACGGCCCAGACUCCUACGGGAGGCAGCAGUGGGGAAUCUUGGACAAUGGGCGAAAGCCUGAUCCAGCAAUGCCGCGUGCGUGAAGAAGGCCUUCGGGUUGUAAAGCGCUUUUGUCUGGGAGCAAAUCCUGGCCUCUAAUACAGGUCGGGGAUGAGAGUACCAGAAGAAUAAGGACCGGCUAACUACGUGCCAGCCGCCGCAGUAACAC
rnacentral:rRNA from 1 species